rnacentral:lncRNA from 1 species
UCAUGACUCAUGAAUUAACGUUCUUUUAUCGCUUCCAUGGUUAUUCAAUCGGUUUAAGAGAUUAAAAGGUUAUAACUUAAGAAAGGGUUUUGAGUCAAGAGAUUGAUCAAAACUACUUAGUUAAUUUGUCGUAAAGAUGGAAUAGUAAUUAGUAAAUAAGGGAGGUAACUACUCAUAUAGAACAAUAGGGGAUUCAUCGGCUUAAUCAUCCUUCUCAAAUCAUCUUUUAACAACUUUAUAUACUUUUUAUACACACAAACCUACUGCCUCAGGCACUUAUAAAGUUUACACAUCCUAGAUACUAACUUUAUUGCUAAGUUAAGAUUAACACAGUCCUCGUGGAUACGAACUUAUUUUAUUACUUCGAUAGUUUUAGUACACUUGCUAAAAUAUCUAUCAAGUUUUUGGCGCCGCUGCCGGGGACUGUUAAAUCAUUUCAACUUGGCAAUUUUGUUUUUAUUUAGGAUUUCAGUCAUUUAUAUUUUUGUAUAUAUAUAUAAAAGAAAAAAAAUUUUGAUUUAUGCUAUUCUUUUUCUUCUCAUUGUAUUGGGCUACUAAAAAGUUUAUCCAAGUUUUGCAGCUAUGAUAGACAGGUUACGCCUCUAUGACACAAAAGAGAUUUGGUCAUUGCAAUAUGAAAAAUAUAUGAUAUCUUUGAAGAUAAAAUGCUUGGACAGUAAAAUCUCACUAUUAAAUGAGAGGUGUGACAGUUAUGAGGUGGAUCAACUAAGUAGUAAUUGUAAAGAGAAGAAAGAGGUGAUCAACAUCGAUUACAAUACUCAACUUCAAAAUAUUUUAGAUGAUUUCUUGGUGUCAAACCAAUUUUCAUUUGAUAAGUUUGAUGUUCAGUGUGGUGAUCUUGUUGAGAAGGCACAGGAGUCUCAAAGGAAGUUGGUUAAGAUGGAGACAGAAUGUCACAAGGUUGUGGUGGAAGAAAAUCCCAAAGUGAGGAGUGUUGAUAUUUGUCCGAAAUCUGAACCAAUGGGGGUUAAGGAAAUCACUCUUGUGAAAAUAUAUGCACGUCCUUCUCUAAGGUGGGAGAGCUUUAAUUCCAAAAGAUCAACAUUGAGUGCAUGGGAGUAUCUGAUUCUUUGUGCUAAGUUCAUGGAAUUCCUACCAAACAAGAGGAAGAAGAAGGGUGAUAUAUUCCUUCUAUCAUUUUUGCCACCCUAACAGUGGCUGAAGCGUCAAGCUCAAUGACGUAAAAGAAAGCGCUUGGUGGGAGGCAACCCAUCGGAUCUUAGAUCCGCUCAGGUAUUGUUUUUAUUUUUUUAUUGCAUUUUAUUUUACAUAUAAAAAAAAAAAAAAACCAAUGUGUGCUACGAACGUGGCACGAAAUUUCUUUAACGUGGCACGAUCUAACAAACGAAGAAACAAGUUUGCCACUGGAAAUUUCGUGGCACGAUUGGUAAUCUAACGUGGCACGAUUUGAAAAAAACAAAAAACAAAAAAACAAAAAACAACAACAAAGAAAAAAAAAAUGAAAAGAUGGACGAAAAAAAAAUAAAAAAAUCAAAGUCCACAUCAGUUCUUUUUCAAUCACUCGUAUUCGUCAGAUGUCAGUUGAACUUUUAAUUGUUGUGUUGUUAUUUGGAUAAUUCAGUUGUACUCCCUGUUAUGUAAUUGAAUCUGAACUUGUUUAUUAUUGACGAAUUUGUUUGUUAGUUGACUUUUUUUCAGUUUAGUAACAAUUGUUUGUUCAAGUGGUAUUCCAAAAGUUCAUAAGGAGGUAGUGACUUGUAUUUCAAAGGCGAAGUGUACGGCAUGUGUGAUAGGUAGUCGCAACUCCCAGAAAUCUAACACUGUAAGGUUCAUAGCCAAAUUUUAUUUUUUUCAAUUUACUUAUAUAGAGUGUUCCGUGCAACUACAUUUCUAGAACUUGCAUUGUUUCUUUACUGUUGAUUGAUCUUUAUCAUAUACACACUGAGGCAAAAGUGCUUGGUCCUGUGAGCCUUUUCAAGCCUACCCUGAUUUUGAUUGAAUUUAUCCUUUUUGAAAGCCAAUUUGUGCCGGUAGGUUUAGAUCUUUUUGUUCGGUGACAAGCUACAUAUUGAGCCUAGGGACUUUUAGGAUUUGACCCAAAAAUAUUAUAUUUGAGUUAGGCUGUGUAGGGUGUUGCUAAACAAUAAGUUUGGGGUUGCUAUUGGAAUUUGCAACCAACUAAGUUUGGGGUGGAGGUACUAGAGAAUAAAGAACAAAUCAUGAAAAAUAUACACUCAAAAUCAAAAUGGUGUAUCAAAAAAAAAAAGAGAAUGAAAAGCAAGGGACAAACAAAGAAAAAUUUGAGUAACUUUAAACUCGAUUGUCCUAACAAGUUACAAAUAAUCUCUAGUACCUUUACAAAUUGUUAUUUCAAGGGGUGAAUGAGGGAUUGAAUCCAUUCUUUAACUUCCGUAGGAAUUGCCUAACUCAAAAUUUUGUGUAGCCUACUUAUCCAAAUAUUAUCCCACCUUCACCUAAGCCCCGUUAUAACCCUUAAAGACCUCAAAGUGUGCAUUGAUAUUGAUUUUUAUUGACGUUUAGAAAUUUUUCAAGCGUAUGGUAAUAUGUAGAUUUGCAUGUCGACUAUGAGUGAACCCUAUUCAAUUUGUUGCGUGGAGUUGUGAAUUGGUGGAUGCGUACAAGUCAAACUAGCUCAUCAUUAGCUAGUGAGGAGUUGAACUUUUGGGUACUAUCGCUUGAUUAGGUAAUUGUUAUUUUACUGUCGACUAUCAAUGUUGCAAAUAAAUUCCUUGAGGACAAGGAAUAGUUCAAGUUUGGGGUUGUGAUGACAGUCCGUCAUAUCACAUUUUUAAAGUCUUUUUAAAUAAAUUUUCAAUCUAUUUUUAUUAGUUUAGUAUUUAAUUUAGAGUCAAUUUAAAUAAAGUAAUGUUUUUUGGUCUAUUAAGUCAAGCAAGGAAAUAUUGGAAUUUAUGGGUUAUUAUCAUAAUUAUUUGUUAUGUGAUCAAACAAGAGCAAAACAAGAAGUGCCAAAAGCAAUGGUUUUAAUAUUCAUAUAAAAGAUCGGGCUUGAGAAAAUCAAAUAAAAGAAAAGCGUGACUUGCUUGUGGAGAAAAAAAGGAACUAGGUUACAUUCCUAUAUAUAAGAAAGCCAGCCGCACAUAAAAAAGAGGAAGGUGAACGUUGGGAAAGUGAGCCGCACAGGAGAUCACGAUUUUGGCCACAUGGUUUUGGGAAGACAACAACAGCACCGUGGGAUAUAAACUGUGGAGCAAAGCCGGCAACGACGGAACUCUAUCGGUUUAUUGUUUUUAUUAUGUUGUUUAUUCGUUUGAUCAUGUCUAGCUAAUUUCCUUGUUGAUUAAGCCAUGAUGAACCUAUUUUAAUAUAUGAAUCAGUAGUUGAUACUCUCUUUAUUAUUAAUGUUAUUCAGUCUUUAUUCAGAAUUACUUGUGUUCAUUGCUUUUCAGAUAAUUGUUUUGUAUGACUAUUAACCCUAGCUUCGUGCAAUUACAUGAAUUGAUAUUAGGAAUUGAAUGACUAUUAACACUAGCUUUUAAUCCUGAUAUAGUAAUCCUGUUUGAUUCAACAUAGGAACCUAGAGAUAGGAAAUUGAGGAUCAUGACUCAUGAAUUAACGUUCUUUUAUCGCUUCCAUGGUUAUUCAAUCGGUUUAAGAGAUUAAAAGGUUAUAACUUAAGAAAGGGUUUUGAGUCAAGAGAUUGAUCAAAACUACUUAGUUAAUUUGUCGUAAAGAUGGAAUAGUAAUUAGUAAAUAAGGGAGGUAACUACUCAUAUAGAACAAUAGGGGAUUCAUCGGCUUAAUCAUCCUUCUCAAAUCAUCUUUUAACAACUUUAUAUACUUUUUAUACACACAAACCUACUGCCUCAGGCACUUAUAAAGUUUACACAUCCUAGAUACUAACUUUAUUGCUAAGUUAAGAUUAACACAGUCCUCGUGGAUACGAACUUAUUUUAUUACUUCGAUAGUUUUAGUACACUUGCUAAAAUAUCUAUCACAAUGCUAAACGAUAAAUAAAAUGUAUGCAAGACUUGAAAGAAAUAAAUAAAAGGUUCAAUCACAAGGUGGGAGGUGUAGCAGUAUUAUGGGGUGUGCAGAAAAUGAAAAAAAAGGUUUGGGCCUAGAUAGAGACGGAGCGGGUCAUGGGUUAAGCCUGGCGGGUCGACCCGGAUUUGAGAGGUAUAUAAAGGGUGUAAACCCUAAUUUCCUCAUUUUUCUUUUCCUCCUUCUCUCUCUUCCGCCUCCUUCUCUCUCUAACUCUCUGUCCUCUCUCUUCUAUGUUCUUCAUUUUCCGGGCUGCUCAUGAAGUUUCCGGUGAAACUUCAUCUUCUCCGACGGAGGUAAGGUGGGUUCCGGCGGCGGUUGGCCGGCCGGUGCGGCGGCACCACCGCGCCGGAACCCUAAUUUUUUAACUUUUGUUUGUCUUGAAUUCCUAUUCUCUUCUACUCUUUCUUUCUUUACACUUUUCGGUUUUAAAACUCAAAACAGACGAAAAGGUUCAAACUUUAUCUUAGAUCCAACAAAAUGAGAAGUGAUACUACCUUUCAAGGAAAAAACAGAUUUGGUUGUUUUGAUUUGAUUCUGAUUUGUACUGCUUUACGGCUGGUCUGGAUCUUAUGAUGAUUGAGGCUGGAUCGGACUGACUGUGAUUCACGUACGGGUUGUGUCGUACGGCUGUUGAAAGCGGUUGAACUCCGGUUGCUUGAUGAGCGAUUCUGGCUUCUCCUGUGCGUUUCUGUGUGCUGUUGUUUCCUUCGAUUGUGUUUUGCAGGUUGCAAUUUAUAGUGCUGGGAUUUGGGUUUAGGGUUUGUUAAAAGAGCAGAUAAAUGUGGCUUUGGAUUGAGAUGAAGAAGGGAAACGCGUCUGUUUUUACUGGAUUUGUUUCAGAUGAAGCGUGAACCGGAUUUGGAUUGGGAUUGAGCAUACAGGCUGUUUUGGAUUGGAACACGUGAUAGAUUGCAGCUUUUGGGGAUGCGUUGAACUUGGACCAUUUUUUAGACUUUGGACAAUUUUGGGACUUAAUUAAAAAGAAAAAUUAAUAAUAAAAGGAUAAUAUCUACAAUUUUGGUUUUAAAUAAAAAGAAAAAUUUUAAAUGGGAAUAAAAGAAAUUUAAUCUAACUUGGACUAAAAAUUAAAAUUAGAAUUCUAAACUAAAAAUUUAAAAGAUGGAAAUAAAUAAUUAAAGACUGAGAGAAGAGGGCCCGAUUCGGAACUUUAUGAGGUAUUUUAAAAUACCUCCCUGCCGAAUUCUUCACUGAAAUGUGAGUCUGGUCCGAGUUCGGAGAAGUGUGUCAGUGGGACCUUAGGUCAAAAAUUGGGGUAUGACAGUACCAAAAGAGUCUACAUGUUUUAAAACUGAAUCGGAAAAUGAAUCUCACCUUUGGCACUGUCGGUAUGGUCACUUAAGCUAUAAGGGGUUGAGGACACUUUUUUAUAAGAAGAUGGUUAAUGGGCUGCCUUCACUCAAGAUUCCAAAGAAGCUAUGUAC